rnacentral:tRNA from 1 species
GCUCUCGUAGCUCAAUGGCAGAGCACGGGUUUUGUAAACCCGGGGUUGAGGGUUCAAAUCCCUCCGAGAGCU